rnacentral:rRNA from 1 species
AUUGAACGCUGGCGGCAGGCUUAACACAUGCAAGUCGAGCGGUAACAGGAGAAGCUUGCUUCUUGCUGACGAGCGGCGGACGGGUGAGUAAUACUUAGGAAUCUGCCCAGUAGUGGGGGAUAGCUCGGGGAAACUCGAAUUAAUACCGCAUACACCCUACGGGGAAAAGGGGGCGCCUGCGCUCUCGCUAUUGGAUGAGCCUAAGUCGGAUUAGCUAGUUGGUGGGGUAAAGGCCUACCAAGGCGACGAUCUGUAGCUGGUCUGAGAGGAUGAUCAGCCACACCGGGACUGAGGCACGGCCCGGACUCCUACGGGAGGCAGCAGUGGGGAAUAUUGGACAAUGGGGGCAACCCUGAUCCAGCCAUGCCGCGUGUGUGAAGAAGGCCUUUUGGUUGUAAAGCACUUUAAGCAGUGAAGAAGACUCUAUGGUUAAUACCCAUAGACGAUGACAUUAGCUGCAGAAUAAGCACCGGCUAACUCUGUGCCAGCAGCCGCGGUAAUACAGAGGGUGCAAGCGUUAAUCGGAAUUACUGGGCGUAAAGCGAGCGUAGGUGGCUUGAUAAGUCAGAUGUGAAAUCCCCGGGCUUAACCUGGGAACUGCAUCUGAUACUGUUAGGCUAGAGUAGGUGAGAGGGAGGUAGAAUUUCAGGUGUAGCGGUGAAAUGCGUAGAGAUCUGAAGGAAUACCGAUGGCGAAGGCAGCCUCCUGGCAUCAUACUGACACUGAGGUUCGAAAGCGUGGGUAGCAAACAGGAUUAGAUACCCUGGUAGUCCACGCCGUAAACGAUGUCUACUGGUCGUUGGGGAACUUGAUUCCUUAGUGACGCAGCUAACGCAAUAAGUAGACCGCCUGGGGAGUACGGCCGCAAGGUUAAAACUCAAAUGAAUUGACGGGGGCCCGCACAAGCGGUGGAGCACGUGGUUUAAUUCGAUGCAACGCGAAGAACCUUACCUGGUCUUGACAUAUCUAGAAUCCUGCAGAGAUGCGGGAGUGCCUUCGGGAAUUAGAAUACAGGUGCUGCAUGGCUGUCGUCAGCUCGUGUCGUGAGAUGUUGGGUUAAGUCCCGCAACGAGCGCAACCCUUUUCCUUAGUUACCAGCGGUUUGGCCGGGGACUCUAAGGAUACUGCCAGUGACAAACUGGAGGAAGGCGGGGACGACGUCAAGUCAUCAUGGCCCUUACGACCAGGGCUACACACGUGCUACAAUGGUAGGUACAGAGGGCAGCUACACAGCGAUGUGAUGCGAAUCUCAAAAAGCCUAUCGUAGUCCAGAUUGGAGUCUGCAACUCGACUCCAUGAAGUCGGAAUCGCUAGUAAUCGCGGAUCAGAAUGCCGCGGUGAAUACGUUCCCGGGCCU